rnacentral:rRNA from 2 species
GAGUAAUGCCUAGGAAAUUGCCCUGAUGUGGGGGAUAACCAUUGGAAACGAUGGCUAAUACCGCAUAACGCCUACGGGCCAAAGAGGGGGACCUUCGGGCCUCUCGCGUCAGGAUAUGCCUAGGUGGGAUUAGCUAGUUGGUGAGGUAAGGGCUCACCAAGGCGACGAUCCCUAGCUGGUCUGAGAGGAUGAUCAGCCACACUGGAACUGAGACACGGUCCAGACUCCUACGGGAGGCAGCAGUGGGGAAUAUUGCACAAUGGGCGCAAGCCUGAUGCAGCCAUGCCGCGUGUGUGAAGAAGGCCUUCGGGUUGUAAAGCACUUUCAGUCGUGAGGAAGGUAGUGUAGUUAAUAGCUGCAUUAUUUGACGUUAGCGACAGAAGAAGCACCGGCUAACUCCGUGCCAGCAGCCGCGGUAAUACGGAGGGUGCGAGCGUUAAUCGGAAUUACUGGGCGUAAAGCGCAUGCAGGUGGUUUGUUAAGUCAGAUGUGAAAGCCGGGGGCUCAACCUCGGAAUUGCAUUUGAAACUGGCAGACUAGAGUACUGUAGAGGGGGGUAGAAUUUCAGGUGUAGCGGUGAAAUGCGUACAGAUCUGAAGGACUACCGGUGGCGAAGGCGGCCCCCUGGACAGAUACUGACACUCACAUGCGAAAGCGUGGGGCGCAAACAGGAUUAGAUACCCUGGCCAGUCCACCGCCGUAACGAUGUCUACUUGGAGGUUGUG